UGGGGGAAUAUUGGGCAAUGGGCGAAAGCCUGACCCAGCGACGCCGCGUGAGGGAAGACGGUCUUCGGAUUGUAAACCUUUGUCAACAGGAACGAAACAAAUGACGGUACCUGUGGAGGAAGCCACGGCUAACUACGUGCCAGCAGCCGCGGUAAUACGUAGGGGGCGAGCGUUGUCCGGAAUUACUGGGCGUAAAGGGAGCGUAGGCGGUUAAUUAAGUUAGAUGUGAAAUACCCGGGCUUAACUUGGGGGGUGCAUCUAAUACUGGUAAACUAGAGUACAGGAGAGGAAAGCGGAAUUCCUAGUGUAGCGGUGAAAUGCAUAGAUAUUAGGAGGAACAUCGGUGGCGAAGGCGGCUUUCUGGACUGACACUGACGCUGAGGCUCGAAAGCGUGGGGAGCAAACAGGAUUAGAUACCCUGGUAGU
rnacentral:rRNA from 1 species